UUACAACACUUUGUUAAUGAAUGCUGUAACUGCCCAUGAUUUAAUGUACUCGCUUUGCUUGCCCUAAUUGGAGUCACCACAGGAGGGCGCUCUAGACUAAUAGGAUUUAAGUGAGACAAAGCAGAGUAAGAGCAAUUCACGUUUGUUCAUGAGCUAACAGGUACAGCUCGGAAGAAUGCCUUGAGCUUUUAGUGUCCCUUCGGCAAGCAGAGCGAGCUCAUUGCGUCUCAGUGGAGAUCUGCAGUAGAGGAGUGCUGAUCUCGCUGGACUGGUAUGUGCUGGUGACUCUGAGCAGGCAGCUGAGCAGCAUGUCUUUUGCCCUUGCCGUCUCCAUGUUCUGCUCUCGGCUCAGCUGGAGGGUCAUCUGGUCCAGGCUGGUCUGCAGAAGCUCAGAGGCCAUGACGGGCCUGCUAACAGCCGGUCCCUCAGUCAGGUACUGUCUGUACAGCUCCAGAAGCUUCUGCUCAAGAUAGCCGUUAAGUUGAGAGUUGGAGAGCGGCCGGCUGAACUGCAGGAGAGAGGGACGCUCACGCCCGCUUUCUUCCUUCCAUCGCCUCGAGCUCCUGAACUCGUGGACCAGAGGAGACUUCACGGCCUGUACCUUCUGCUCCACCAAUGCCAAAUGAAGAAGACACGCUCCAGUUCUUUGAUGAAGUGAUCGCAAGCUGUGACCCGGAGCCCAGCAGAAAACCACAUGUGGACAACGGCCAUGCAGACGUCGACUUUAUAGUGGCAACCAGUACCAGUGAGCAUGAUCUUCACUCCAACUGGGUGCUUCGGGACCCUCGUCGAAUCUCCAUGUUGGAGUCGCAGCCCAAGAAAAUAAAUAUCAGUCAUGGGAAGGCAGCCCAGCGGAAAGGGGACAUGGGAAGCACAGGCAGCAGGAGAUGCCUGCAACGAAACCCUAUCCACCUGCCCAAAGUGGUGGAAAGUGCCUUUCAGACGCUACGCUUUAAACCCAAGCUCAAGAAGAAAGACUAGCUGCUCAGAGAAACACUGUUUGUGCCUAGAGGACAUAAACAAUCACAGUGUGAUCAAGGAGACAGAGUUGCUAGUAGUAUUGAGGAAUAGCCUGAAUGAAUCCCUGGUGGAUAUGAGCUCUGUGAAUACUGUCAGCGCUUACUCACGGCUUCAUAAAUUAUCCACAGCAGAUCACAAUCUCUCUUUCAGUAGCUCUCAAUAGCAAAUGCUUAAAGCCAUUACCAGAGCAUAACCACUCUGCUGGAUGUGGAGCGAUCAUCCUGCGCACUGAUUCCACACAAACGUUUAUAUUUUUAUCUCGUUUGCAGAUAGGACAGAUAUUUGACAGGAAAGCUGGGGUAGAGAGUGGGAAGUAGGAUCAGUGUGAGGCAGGAAUUGAACUCAGGUCAUCAUAAGCACAAUUAAAGGCCUAUUUAAAUAAUCAGACAGAUGAACAGAGUUCCCGCUUUAAGCCAAAUAUCAAAUUCCCUGACUUCACUGACUAAAAAGCUUAAUUUACAUUACAUUCAUUGAACGUAUAAGAGGCUGCUGUUGUGCUUGUAUACUAAUAUUCAGGGCUUGACAUUAAUACCCGUCAAAUGCAGGUAGAUUUCAGCUGUGGUGGGUUAGAUAGACACCCCCACUAGCCACUUUGACUGGUUGAAAAUAAUUUUUAAGUAGACAGAACUGCCUCCAGAUUUUAUGUAAGCCGCAGCUGUUGCCGCUUUUGCUUUUACCUUUCUUUGAACAGAUUAUAACUGGGCCUAACGGUAACUGUGUGCACAUGAUUAGUCAUCCUUUCAUUAUCAAACACAGAAUGGUUUUCACCUGCUUUCUUCUGCUUAGUUUUAUUUGUAUUUAUGGUUUGAAUAUCAUCCUUUACAAUAACAUUGCUUUAAUAGGAGAUUAACUCUCCGUUUAUCUAUAGUUACCUGAUGAUAUAUGACCUUUAGCCUGGACAAACUACUGUGUUAGUUUUAGAUAAAUGACAAUCAUUUUUUUAAAUGUCAAUUAUUGUUUUUUUUUGUUUUUUUUUAUAAAAUUUUUGUUGGAUAAAAAGUGUAUGCAUCUAUAUUUAGCUUGUUUUGGAACAUUAUUAAAAAUCUGUUGCAAGAAAAUAAUUUGUUUAGAGUCCUAAAAAGUCAUGUGAAAAAAAAAAAAGUUAAAUUAACGACGAGGCAUGUUGACAUAACAGGAAUUUGUCAUUUUUAGCAUGCCAAAGUCAAAUUGAUGCAAUAAAAUAUAUUUUCCCGACAACAAAAUUGUGGCUAGUGUAAAAGGCAAGUGACUAGUAAUGUUGGAAAACUACAAGCCACAGUGGCUGGUGAUCAGAAAAGUUAAUGUCAAGCCCUGCUAAUAACAUAAUUGAGCCAGUAAUAUGAGAGCAAUUCAUAUUUUAUCUUUUUUUUUUUACCUAAAACUCUUGAAAUUUCUAUUAUUCUGGCAUGUUUGCUUCGUUUACAGGUACAGUCCUGGUUUAAAGCAAAAAAACAACAACAACAAUCCCUAAUACUCAAUGAUUCCCAAAAAAUUCCCUCUUUUUUAAUGUCUGUAAUUUACCUUUCAAAAUUCUAUGACUCAUGGGAAGUCUGGAUGAAUGAUGCUAAACAUAAGGUAAGAUGUGUUUUGUUGAUUUGUGAUAGGUAAGGGAGACAAAUUCCUGUUUACACCUGGAGUUUUGAUGUUUUUUUUUCACUUCAACAAUUUUUUUGUGUAUUUUUUUUCUGAACGUUUAGAGUAAUAUUGCAAAAUAAGCUUGCACAGUUUACAUUAAAGCAUGAAAGGGGAC
ensembl:lincRNA